rnacentral:rRNA from 1 species
UGGAGGUUGUGCCCUUGAGGCGUGGCUUCCGGAGCUAACGCGUUAAGUCGACCGCCUGGGGAGUACGGCCGCAAGGUUAAAACUCAAAUGAAUUGACGGGGGCCCGCACAAGCGGUGGAGCAUGUGGUUUAAUUCGAUGCAACGCGAAGAACCUUACCUGGUCUUGACAUCCACGGAAGUUUUCAGAGAUGAGAAUGUGCCUUCGGGAACCGUGAGACAGGUGCUGCAUGGCUGUCGUCAGCUCGUGUUGUGAAAUGUUGGGUUAAGUCCCGCAACGAGCGCAACCCUUAUCCUUUGUUGCCAGCGGUCCGGCCGGGAACUCAAAGGAGACUGCCAGUGAUAAACUGGAGGAAGGUGGGGAUGACGUCAAGUCAUCAUGGCCCUUACGACCAGGGCUACACACGUGCUACAAUGGCGCAUACAAAGAGAAGCGACCUCGCGAGAGCAAGCGGACCUCAUAAAGUGCGUCGUAGUCCGGAUUGGAGUCUGCAACUCGACUCCAUGAAGUCGGAAUCGCUAGUAAUCGUGGAUCAGAAUGCCACGGUGAAUACGUUCCCGGGCCUUGUACACACCGCCCGUCACACCAUGGGAGUGGGUUGCAAAAGAAGUAGGUAGCUUAACCUUCGGGAGGGCGCUUACCACUUUGUGAUUCAUGACUGGGGUGAAGUCGUAACAAGGUAACCGUAGGGGAACCUGCGGUUGGAUCACCUCCUU